UACGGAGGAUGCGAGCGUUAUCCGGAAUCAUUGGGUUUAAAGGGUCCGUAGGCGGCUUUAUAAGUCAGUGGUGAAAUCUUCCGGCUCAACCGGGAAACUGCCGUUGAUACUGUAAGGCUUGAAUUAUUGUGAAGUAGCUAGAAUAUGUAGUGUAGCGGUGAAAUGCUUAGAUAUUACAUGGAAUACCAAUUGCGAAGGCAGGUUACUAACAAUGGAUUGACGCUGAUGGACGAAAGCGUGGGGAGCAAACAGGAUUAGAUACCCUGGUAGUCCACGCCGUAAACGAUGGAUACUAGCUGUUCGAACGCAAGUUUGAGUGGCUAAGCGAAAGUGAUAAGUAUCCCACCUGGGGAGUACGAACGCAAGUUUGAA
rnacentral:rRNA from 1 species